GGUACCUGUGUGUCUAGGAGGAUUAAACACAAUGCUCCCCCAUGGACACCUGGCAGCUCCCUCACUUGCAGUGUGAUUAAUGAAGCCUCUCCUCCUGACUGAGAACAAGAAACUCACCUCCUUUCUCCAUGCCCUUGAGCACAUGCAGAGCCUUUAUCUGAGGUCACUUUUUUCUUCUAGUCCACAAAACACAAGCAAGGCUUGUCCUCUCAGUGUGUGAUUCACUUUUCAGCCCUAUUUCUGCUCCCCAGGCCAGGUGAAGAUAAAGAGCAUUUGUGGAGGAGGAAGGCAGAUUCCAUCUCCAGAGCUCCAACUGCAUCCCUCAGCAAUAAACAGAGGCAUCAACAUUUGUAUAGAAGAAUGAGGAAGGAGAGCUUGCUCUCCUUAUAUGCACUUUCAUCUGGUGCUGCUGGAUCUGGACCCAGCACUGGCGUGCAGAGCUGUUCCUGGCAAUGGAAGCUGCCAGGCUGCCCAUCUACACUUCAAGCCUACCUGAGAUACCAGUCUUUAAUUUACAUUAAAGCCACAUUUACAGCAUGAUCCCCCCAAAAGUAGUACAUAUGCUUAGUAGUGGGAGCAAUAGUAGCCAUAGCAUGUGUUUUGUGUAAUUUUUCACCAGGGAUGGACCAGUUCCUCUAAAUUGAUUACUUUAUUUAGAGGGAUAAACCCCCCUGGUUUUCAUACUCCAGGAAAAGAGCAAACAGUAUGUUAAAAAACUCUUCUUCUAUCUAAACCUGCCUUCUAAUCC
rnacentral:lncRNA from 12 species